rnacentral:tRNA from 1 species
GUUUAUAUAGUUUAACUAAAACCUUACAUUUUCAUUGUAAAAAUAAAAUAAAUAUUUUUUAUAAAUA